rfam:Clostridium sp. CAG:678 genomic scaffold, scf125
AUCAACUACUCAGUACUAAAUAAUUGAGCCUAUCUCAGUAACAAUGGUGCGUUCGUUUGAACAAGUUGACUACCCUAAGUCUUGAAACAGAGGCUACGUUAUACAAGAAUAUAUAGUCACCGGUGGGCAUUUGCCCUAACCUGCCGCUCUGAGGUAUAUGGUUAAACAAUUCUGUAGAGUAGGAAUAGUGCUGUAUACAAAUAAACCUUGUAUAACAUUGGGGAAGGGCACCUUAC